rnacentral:rRNA from 1 species
GAUGAACGCUGGCGGCGUGCCUAAUACAUGCAAGUCGAGCGAAUGGAUUAAGAGCUUGCUCUUAUGAAGUUAGCGGCGGACGGGUGAGUAACACGUGGGUAACCUGCCCAUAAGACUGGGAUAACUCCGGGAAACCGGGGCUAAUACCGGAUAACAUUUUGAACCGCAUGGUUCGAAAUUGAAAGGCGGCUUCGGCUGUCACUUAUGGAUGGACCCGCGUCGCAUUAGCUAGGUGGUGGGGUAACGGCUCACCAAGGCAACGAUGCGUAGCCGAACGGAGAGGGUGCACGGCCACACUGGGACGGAGACACGGCCCAGACUCCUACGGGAGGCAGCAGUAGGGAAUCUUCCGCAAUGGACGAAAGUCUGACGGAGCAACGCCGCGUGAGUGAUGAAGGCUUUCGGGUCGUAAAACUCUGUUGUUAGGGAAGAACAAGUGCUAGUUGAAUAAGCUGGCACCUUGACGGUACCUAACCAGAAAGCCACGGCUAACUACGUGCCAGCCGCCGCGGUAA